rnacentral:rRNA from 1 species
CGCGUAGGCGGUCUCUUAAGUCAGAUGUGAAAGCCCGGGGCUUAACCUCGGAAGUACAUUUGAAACUAAGGGACUUGAGUAUGGGAGAGGGAAGUGGAAUUCCUGGUGUAGCGGUGAAAUGCGUAGAUAUCAGGAGGAACACCGGUGGCGAAGGCGACUUCCUGGACCAAUACUGACGCUGAGGCGCGAAGGCGUGGGGAGCAAACAGGAUUAGAUACCCUGGUAGUCC